UUAUCUGUGUAAAUAGUUUCUCAUUUCUGUCUAUAACUGUGCAUACAGUGAUAUUGAUACUUUUGUAUUUUUUAUUAGGUAACUGUAUUCAAGGUGCAAGCCAGUAGGUUGCUUGCUCUUAACAAGCGGUUGUUUGGGAUUAAAGUUGGAAAUUUCUGUUACGUGAAGGAGGGACUUGUUCUUGGUCAGCUCACAGGAAAUCGAUUUACAAUUACUCUGAGGGGUGUUACUGCAGAAUCUGAAGACAUGA